rnacentral:lncRNA from 1 species
GUGGGUGUGAGAGGGGGCUGGAAGGGGAGGGGAGUCUAGUGGUUAGAGCAGGAGGGGUGGGAGCCAGGACUCCUGGGUUCAUCUGGGGGGGUGUAUGGGAAGCUGUUUGCUGCAUAUACCACAGCAGGCAGGUGCGUCUCCUUGGAGACAAGCACCAUGGAUACCAGGCCCGACUGCGAUUUGCCCACCGCGGAUCCGGCUGAACUGUCUCCUACAGCGGCGGAAGGGCUGCGGCCCCGGAGGGAUCCGGACCUGUGGCCCCUGCAUCCGCCCCUACCAUGAGGACCCCGGUGGGGACUGUGUCCUCGAGACACCGCACAAGAAUGGCGACGGAGCCAAUUCGGACGCUGGACCCAGCGACCUGGCCACCCUCAUCCGCUCCCUGGUGGCCAACAAACAGAAGGGAUCCAGGACCCCUGGGACCAAGACCCCUGAGCAUGCUGGCUCCAUGAGGAUUGACCCCCAGGUUCCUUCGGUCACCGAGACCCCCCCUACAUCUCCCGCUCGCCCCUCCCCCCUGACGCCAGGCUCCAGCGCCCCCUGGCUGGAGGAAGAUCUGAACUCGGGUCCCCCGACUUCCUGGCUCAAUGAGGCCGU